rnacentral:rRNA from 1 species
UACGUAGGGGGCAAGCGUUGUCCGGAAUCAUUGGGCGUAAAGCGCGUGUAGGCGGCCCGAUAAGUCCGCUGUGAAAGUCCAGGGCUCAACCCUGGAAUGCCGGUGGAUACUGUCGGGCUCGAGUCCGGAAGAGGCGAGUGGAAUUCCUGGUGUAGCGGUGAAAUGCGCAAAUAUCAGGAGGAACACCAAUGGCGAAGGCAGCUCGCUGGGACGGUACUGACGCUGAGACGCGAAAGCGUGGGGAGCAAACAGG